rnacentral:rRNA from 1 species
AUUGAACGCUGGUGGCAUGCCUUACACAUGCAAGUCGAACGGCAGCAUGAUCUAGCUUGCUCGAUUGAUGGCGAGUGGCGAACGGGUGAGUAAUACAUCGGAACGUGCCCUGUAGUGGGGGAUAACUAGUCGAAAGAUUAGCUAAUACCGCAUACGACCUGAGGGUGAAAGUGGGGGACCGCAAGGCCUCAUGCUAUAGGAGCGGCCGAUGUCUGAUUAGCUAGUUGGUGAGGUAAAGGUUCACCAAGGCGACGAUCAGUAGCUGGUCUGAGAGGACGAUCAGCCACACUGGGACUGAGACACGGCCCAGACUCCUACGGGAGGCAGCAGUGGGGAAUUUUGGACAAUGGGCGAAAGCCUGAUCCAGCAAUGCCGCGUGUGUGAAGAAGGCCUUCGGGUUGUAAAGCACUUUUGUCCGGAAAGAAAUGGCUCUGGUUAAUACCUGGGGUCGAUGACGGUACCGGAAGAAUAAGGACCGGCUAACUACGUG